UCCCCGCGACGUUUCGUUCUUUCGAUCGGGCGCCUCUUCGUGUCGCGCACCGCGACGUCCUCGGGAGUCCGUGUAAUUUACAUAACGUUUAUCGGAGCGGGAAACCACGUGGAAGUGUGUCGUUUAACUGAUUUUGUCGCAUCUACGUUACACGGACUCUUUCUUCUUCUGAGCGCGAUGUCGUCGACGUUUUCGCGAAACACGGAGAGACAGGGUCGCAUUACCGCGAGGAACUAGAAUGUCUCUCGCGAACGCUCUCCCCCGUGGUGGGUGUAUAUUGUAUCGGGAAUUCCCGCAGGACCGAAAAGUGCUAAAGUGCGAAGAACGGGCUCAGGUUAUCGCGAUACAUCUCCCACCAGGAAUGUAUCUCGGCCCGGAAGCUACGAGUCGAGAAGGGUGACGUGUCCGUCACCAGGCGAAAUUCCUACGUGAUCGAUACUCACGCAGAAGAGCUGAACGAAUCGCGAAUACACGACGGACCAGGAUCGCAGCCCUUCGCGGAAGGGUAGCGCGUUUACGAGCUUGAGAAUGCAUUCAGUUACAUUCCUCGUGUAGCUAGGCGAACAUUGUAAUACUCUAGCCGAAUGGCUUAGGUGUUACAUUCUUGAGAGAGAAUUUCUAAAAAUGUUAUAUUAGAAAGUGUCACGUAAUGUACGGGACACGUACGCGGCACUUCUUCGCUUACUAUUAGAUAAAAGAAAUAAGAUCCGUUGAUGAAAAGGUCUCUAAGAUAGCAAAAAGGGCUGUCCACUCUGACCAUAUCUCGCUCCACCUCAAACCACAGAAAUCUGAUGAUGAGAUAUGAAAAAAAUGAAAAGUGAUAUCCGCGCUAACAGGAGACCAUCAUCAUUGCGGAGUUUGCCGGCAGAAAAGGUCGGCUUUUACAUUUCUCCGAAAUCACGUUUUAUCACGUUUUUACACGAUAUUCAACAUUGAGAAUUAUCAUUAAUAUACAUUUAAUAAACAUUGCAAAAUGUACGUUUAUAUCGAAACUGCGAAUAUGGAAUUCUUUUGUGUUGUAAAAAGUGGCAUUUCGCAGUUUUGUUGUCCGA